UACGUAGGGAGCAAGCGUUGUCCGGAUUUACUGGGUGUAAGGGGUGCGUAGGCGGCUUUGCAAGUCAGAAGUGAAAUCCAUGGGCUUAACCCAUGAACUGCUUUUGAAACUGCAGAGCUUGAGUGGAGUAGAGGUAGGCGGAAUUCCCGGUGUAGCGGUGAAAUGCGUAGAGAUCGGGAGGAACACCAGUGGCGAAGGCGGCCUGCUGGGCUCUAACUGACGCUGAGGCACGAAAGCGUGGGUAGCAAACAGG
rnacentral:rRNA from 1 species